GCUAUGGUCACCGUUGGCGCGGCGGCGGGGGCGGGACUGGAUGGCAAGAGGCGGGGCGGCCUGCCGUGGUGGGCGGUUCUUAGUUGCUCUACUCCAGGACAAGGGUUUUCCUUUUCAAAGCUGUUUUCUAGAUAAGGUUUCCUGGUCCAGGUACCCCAAGGCCUAGAGCUGAGCUACCUGAGCCAGACUUUUCUUUCCGCCCCAUCUUAACUGUAACUUCUUAGACAUUUGUGAAAACUGGUAAUACACUGCAGACAAUAGUACUUUCCAGUACUUCCCCAUCUUCAAAAUAGACAUCAAGGCAUCAAGAGGUGCUGGCAAAGGGGGUCGGCUUACAAGACGGAGCUGUCAUUGGAGCAAAGAAGAAAUCAAGUGACAUUUGAGUACAUCAGAGCUCUGCUCUGUUCCAUUAAGAAGGUUCUGCUACGUGGCCUGAGCUGGUCUCCAACUCAUAACCUCGAGGGAACCCAACCAUCCAGUAUAGGUAUGCACCAUCCUGGUUAGCCGAAAGUAGACUUUAUUUCACUGUAUCUUUAAAGAAAUGAGCAAGCUAGCAAAGAAAUCUGUAUGUUGUUACUCCAAGAGAAACAACAGAGAGAGAGAAAGAGAGAGAGAGAGAGAGAGCAUGAGUGAGUAUAGAUAUAAGAGUAAGCACUCACCCUGCAAGCCAGUUGUUUUUCAAACCUUGGAGAAACAAAAGACCAUGGACCCAUGUUCUGCGGCUCCUCCUGACUCCAGAUGACAUCUGCAAAAAGAAGAAGUUGACUUCAACUUUCAAUCAACCAAAAGACUGAUUGUUGCUAAUGUGUGGGACUGGGGAGAGUCCUGACUCCAGACAAUCAAGAUGAGGAGACCUGGGGAUUGAAAGACUUCUUCUUUGCAUCAUAAUUGUUUAACUCAUAUAAACUCAUAUAUCAAGAAUCUUUAGAGGAACAGCUGGGUGGAUGGUUAAGAGAUAAAUUUCCAACUUCUGUUACAUAUAUGCUUUUCCAACAUGUUAGCAUUUUUAGAAUUUUUAUUAUGUGUGGUAUGCAUGUCUGUAUAAAUGGAUGCCAUGUGUGCAGGUGUCCAAGGAGGCCAGAAGAGGGCACUGCAUCCCUUAGAGCUAUUGCAUCCCUUAGCGCUGCAGUUAGAGGUGCUUGUGAGACACCCAAUGAAGAUACUGGAAAGCACUCAACUCCUGUGCCAUCUCUCUAAACCCCUAUUGUGUUCUCGCUCGCUCGCUCACUCGCUCUCCCCUCCCCUCCCCUUUUUUUCUGGCAAGUACCUAGUUGUGUGUUCACAACAACAAUCACAAUGCAAGAUUUCUUUGAAGCCCCA